GGGAAAGGGGCCGUGAGGUUAAAAGAAGUAAAAUUUUUAAAAAAAAAAAAAAAAAAAGAGGAAAGGACGAGUGUCCCGGGCAGCAGUGCCCCUUGCCUGAGACGCUGUUCCUCUGCUCUUUCCACCCACACAUGGGUGUAACGGAGCCUUCUCGGAGACAUCACAGCCCUCCGUGACCUCUGCUCAGCAAAACAAAACCCUAAACAUCGGGGGGUUGGUUUCUUGUCGAAAACAAGCCCUGAUUUUCGAUGAGCUAGGAAAAAAGCUGUCGCUUGCCUCAAGAUGGUUUACAGCCCAGGAGCAUUUUCCAGAGGGGGAUGUAAGGCUUUAAAUCUGACUGCCCCUCACGCUGGAGAUGCGCUCCAGCUCACGAGCAAUCGAUUCACUGGCCGCAAGCGUGUAGCUGGUGUUGCAGUCUUUAAAACUGGUGAAUUUUGCCUUCAGUUUAGGAGCACUGGUGGUGAUUUAAUGAUGAAACUGCGCUACGGGACAUAGAAAACGUUUAUUCAAAGAUUAGAGAUGGAAGUAAGCACAAAGUGAACUUCUGCAACUAUUAGAGACACCGACAGCAAAGAUGUGAUGGUCAACAAACAAACUUGUGCUCGGCUGUGAAGCUAUCGAUUUUUCUUCACUAAAUAAUGAGUAAUUUUAAAAAAAAAAAAAGACUUUUUUUUAUGCAACCUAAAAAUACGCCUGUGGCCCUGGACUCCCCAAAUCAGCUUCUCUUUCCUUGUCUGCUGGAGACCCAUGUAACGCUGCUAAAUUUCUUCUGUGAAACUUCUCCUUGUGGUUGCACCCCAGAGGUCACAGCAAGCAACCCUACAGGCUCUGCUGCCCCCCUGGCUGCAGCAGCCCCCAGGUCCAGAGUUAACUCUCAGCUGACCCUUCUAUCAUUAACACUUGUUUCAUUCACAAAAAAAUAAUCCUAGAAUCUCCGAAUUGCUGCUUCAGUGCCGAACGUUUCAGGCUCACAUGAAGGUGGUGGCUCAUGUGUGACCCUUUCUGCUUGGGCUCCAGAGGUAACGGCUGCCUUUUGGAAAGGAGCAGGAGAACGAGGGGAGCAAGAGAACUGGGAUGCGCAACCACAGCAUCGGCGUGAUGAGUUUCUCCGGUCAAACCUUCCCUCGCCCAUCUCUCAGUUUUGUCUCUUCGAGCAGUAUAAUUGCAGGUCAGAAGCUCACAAAAGGGGAAAGUACAGGAAUUUUUGAGAAAUGGCCCAUCUUCUGCUUCUGAGGUGACAUGCCGUGAUAGCAAACUCCUCUCAGCCUGGGGAAGCUACAGCAGCGGUCCCUGCGCUGGCCCGGGCAGUGGGAUGGGCACGGAUCGUGGCGCAGAAAGCUGCUUCGGCUGCUCUCCUGACACUGAGCUCCUCCAGCACAGCCCAUUCCAAGGGGUGAAUUUUUUUUUUUUAAUUACUAUUUUGGGCCAAGCACAAUGGCAAGUUACUGUAGAGCCUUGGGACAACACACAGGAGCGGACCCCUACGAAGUCUCCUUACACUGCCCGUUCCGUCACUGCUGCUAUUUUACACAGCAAAUAAUAUUUUCACGCCGGCCAGGCUUUGGAAGGCAGGGGAGGAAAGGAACCAGAGCGACAGCGGUGGUGUGGUCAGAGCACUUUCCUCCCUUCCAGCUCCCUGCCGAGAGGUGGUCCCGGCUCCGCUCCGGUAGGGACCACCCGCAGCGUGUUGAGGUGGGACCCUCAGUGUUUCCUCUUGGAGCUCAUCAGACCUCCAGGACAAAGGUCUGGAACCACUGCGCCUUCCUCCUGAGGAGCCUGGGACUAGGUUAAGGGGCUUCCACUAGAUUUAAGUAGAUCUGAGCUCCCAGAAACCGACAUGCAAAGCGGGGAUGCGAAGAGCAGCAAGGAUUCAUCUCCAAACCGCCCAACCGAGGUGUUAUCGCCCUCCGCCGUGCGCCGACAAGCAAAUACGUGAAACAUUUUGCACAGGGUUAUACAGGAUUUCAACGGGGAGAGAAGUCCCACCAGGCACCUGCUCGCUCCAACAGACACAACCGAGCCAAGAACAGCCCCCCCAGAGCCUCGUGUUCCCGUUCCUUGGGCUCAGCAUCCAAACGCAAUGCGUCUUUAUUAUCAGAAUACGCUUUGCCAGCAGGAUCGCCAGCCUGGAUAGCAAAGCUUCGCCUCUAAGCCUUUAUCUCACUUUCAUACGUUUUCAAAGCCUUGUCUUCCCUAAAGAUGGGACCUGGAUACAAACAAGCCUUGACGGUCACCAACUUCUGCUCAGCUUCGGUGCUGAUGUUGCUUUCCACGCACACGGCCAGCUGUGUCUGUGCUGAGCCCACCUAAAAGCUUCCCAUCACCACUGAGCCCAGGGCAACAACUACAGCGCUCGUCAGGUUCUCUAGGGUUAGGAUUUACCGUCGAUAUUGGCGAUAAGGGCUGCUACGGCAGGCUGGAUGGCAUCCCCGGUCAAAGCAGGACACGUGUUCAGGAAGGAGGAGAUGGCUUGCAGUAAGUCUGCCAGCUUGGCUUCCACAGAAGCUGAAGUAACUUCUCCUAAAAUGAGGAAGGGGAGAAACUGUGAUUUUUUUUUUGCAUGCAUAAGCUCUUGUCCUCCCCUCUCCCAGGAUGAGCUCACUGCCGCGCACCCAGUUCUUCCUUGAUACUCCAGUUCUGCACAAAACAGAACGUAACAGCCGCUGAGCACCCCAGCGUGCAGUGAGGAUGGAUGUGGCAAUUGCCUGGUCCUUUUGUCACCUGGGCCACCCCUCCCCAAGGCUCCACACUGCUUUUUGUCCGGGUUCUACGCUGUGAGCCCUGGAGACGACCGUCCCUGCCUCCUGCUGCGGGAGCACACCCUGCCUUUGUGUCUUUCCAUCCAAAGACCAACCAACCAUCCAAAGAUCAAGAGAAAAACACGGUCCCAAGCUGAGCGCUGGGGAAGAUGCUCGCCGAAAGCACCAGCCCGGGCAGGGGUAAUUCCCACGUGCAGCCAGCAUCACGUGGGGGCAUCUCGCGGAGCCAAGAGCAGCACCGCCACCGGGAGCUUGCUGGAGAAGCGUGGCCAACCCAAGUCACCCGGCGUGCCCGGGGUAAGGUCAUCACCAUCACCUAGAGCUCUGGGUGGGGAGACUGGGAUCACUGGGAUCUCCGGAUGCCUCGGUGGAGAGAGUGGCAUUCCUCCAGGAGAUUCCUUCUUCCAGCAAGCAGCUGAAGGGGUUUUGUUAAGGCUGCCACGCUGUGCGAGGUUUCUGGAGCAGCACUGUGCUUGUGGUAACUCUUUUUUUUUCAUCCUCAGUUUAAUUUUAUUAAUUGGGCUCCAGCCUGGUGGAUGUCCUGCAAGUACAGAGGCUGGGGGAGGGGAGAGGAGGGCAGAGGGGGAAAGCGCCGGCACGCCAGCCGGGAAAGCACGGUGCUUCUGCUGGAGCACGCGUCCAGGCUGUGACACAGGCUCAGCACCCUCCCCCUUCAUCCAGAGCAUCACCAGCCCCAGCCCUUCUUGGGCUGGUGGCAUUUGGAAUCCUUCCCAGUGACAAAUCCCAGUUUUUUUGGGGGGUGGGGGGUGUCCUCGCAGGCCCCCUUUCCUUGAGCCAGUUUAACUCACUUGGGUGUCGCUGUCAGUAGUACUUGAUGUGAUUUUGCAUCGCUUUUUUUGGAGGAAACCCAUGCACUCAGGUGGUUAAGUGCUCUGAAGUGUUACCCGUUGAUGCAACUCAUUACAGGAAAAGACACUUGCAUAAUUAAAUAGCUGUGCUGAGAGAAGCCACCCUAAAUUGUCUGAGAGCCAUCUAAAUUCAGUGUUUUAAAUAAAUAAAGCAGCGAGAAUGACACAGGAUCACUUCUGCUGAAUGUAAAAUCGGCUUGUAAGCAAAUUAAAAAAUAAAUAAAUAAAAUAAAUUUACCUUUUCGGAAGA